UCCACGGCGGCGGCGGCUCGAUUGGAAGCGUGGCUUGGCAGGCCAUGAUGGAGAUGACCCGGGGAACAAGGCGAAGAAGGUGGAUCUGCAGUGGAAGGAAGAGAUGAACAGGAAGAUCGCCUCCUAGAAGUCCCUCUCCGUCAUCCUCUUACGCGAGCCUACCAAGGCUGUCCUCAACGAGCACGAAUCUUCCCACAAGGAUCCUCUCACGGUGUAAAGCAGGUCCCCUCAACCAUGAAUCCAUGAGUCAGUCCAAGGUCGGGAGAGUCGGUGCUCAUCACCCAGAU